AAUUUGCAUAUAGACCUUCAUUUUGAUUUGCCACAUGGCUUUGAUGCUGCUUCACCAUUUCUGAUACCCUGCUGCUGUGUUCUUGCGAUAUGUAACAAAUCAACUGGGCGGACUAGUUUUCAAACCAGUAUUUUAAAUUCUCGUACUCUUUAGAAAGUGGAACGCGAACAUUUGGGAUGCCACUUUGAGAUGCUACUACAAAAUGCUCAAAAUUUGUUUGACUUUAGAGAUUUCAACUUAUAAUUGCACUCUAAAAUUAUCACUUUUUGUAAAAGCCAUUCUAUUCAUCUUUAUGCUGAAGUCGGCUCAAGCAUCACACUCUUGGCAUGAUGAGAUUCUUGGUGCGCUGAAGUAGCACUUAGCUGUACCUGUAGUAACCGGCUCUAUGACUCUAUCUACAAUUUGUUUGACACAAUUGUAUUUGGUGGGAACAUCAAGGAUUGAGUUUGAAGGAUAUAGUAUAUUCGAGGUGAUCGUGUUUAGUUGUUGAGUCUGUUAUGUAACCAACACCGCUUGUAUGCUUUGGUGAUAGGUCCACUUGGAUGAUAUAUCAAGGGAGAACUUUUUGAGCAAGCAGGAAUAUUAUCUUAACCUUAAAGU
rnacentral:lncRNA from 1 species